GUGCUCGCUUGAGCAGCAUAUAUACUAAAAUUUGAAUGAUACAGAGAAGAUUAGCAUGGCACUUGCACAAGGAUGACAUACAAAUUCUUGAAGCAUUCCAUAACUUU